rnacentral:rRNA from 1 species
AGACCCGAAACCCGGUGAUCUAGCCAUGGGCAGGUUGAAGGUUGGGUAACACUAACUGGAGGACCGAACCGACUAAUGUUGAAAAAUUAGCGGAUGACCUGUGGCUGGGGGUGAAAGGCCAAUCAAACCGGGAGAUAGCUGGUUCUCCCCGAAAGCUAUUUAGGUAGCGCCUCGUGAAUUCAUCUCCGGGGGUAGAGCACUGUUUCGGCUAGGGGGCCAUCCCGGCUUACCAACCCGAUGCAAACUGCGAAUACCGGAGAAUGUUAUCACGGGAGACACACGGCGGGUGCUAACGUCCGUCGUGAAGAGGGAAACAACCCAGACCGCCAGCUAAGGUCCCAAAGUCAUGGUUAAGUGGGAAACGAUGUGGGAAGGCCCAGACAGCCAGGAUGUUGGCUUAGAAGCAGCCAUCAUUUAAAGAAAGCGUAAUAGCUCACUGGUCGAGUCGGCCUGCGCGGAAGAUGUAACGGGGCUAAACCAUGCACCGAAGCUGCGGCAGCGAACGUAUCACCCAAGACAACUUUACGGAGUUGACGAUUGACGGAGCGAAGCGACGUCAAAGCGUUCAUUAAAGUCGAGUUGGCUUAGGGAUACGUUCGUUGGGUAGGGGAGCGUUCUGUAAGCCUGUGAAGGUGUGUCGUGAGGCAUGCUGGAGGUAUCAGAAGUGCGAAUGCUGACAUAAGUAACGAUAAAGCGGGUGAAAAGCCCGCUCGCCGGAAGACCAAGGGUUCCUGUCCAACGUUAAUCGGGGCAGGGUGAGUCGACCCCUAAGGCGAGGCCGAAAGGCGUAGUCGAUGGGAAACGGGUUAAUAUUCCCGUACUUGGUGUUACUGCGAAGGGGGGACGGAGAAGGCUAUGUUGGCCGGGCGACGGUUGUCCCGGUUUAAGCGUGUAGGUGUGUGUUCCAGGUAAAUCCGGUUCACUUUAACACUGAGGCGUGAUGACGAGGCACUACGGUGCUGAAGCAACAAAUGCCCUGCUUCCAGGAAAAGCCUCUAAGCAUCAGGUAACAUCAAAUCGUACCCCAAA